AGCAGCCGCGGUAAUUCCAGCUCCAAUAGCGUAUAUUAAAGUUGUUGCAGUUAAAAAGCUCGUAGUUGAAUUUUGGAUUCUACCAUUUGGUCCAUCUUUUAGAUGAGUACUGAAUGUGUGGGGUCUAUCCGCCUGAUAAUACGUAAUGUUCUUUAUUGAAUGUUACGGGUAGUCAGGACUUUUACCUUGAAAAAAUUAGAGUGUUUAAAGCAGGCUUAUGCCGGAAUACAUUAGCAUGGAAUAAUAGAAUAGGACGAAGUUGUUUUAUUUUGUUGGUUUUUAGGACAACCGUAAUGAUUAAUAGGGAUAGUUGGGGGCAUUAGUAUUCAAUUGUCAGAGGUGAAAUUCUUGGAUUUAUUGAAGACUAACUACUGCGAAAGCAUUUGCCAAGGAUGUUUUCAUUAAUCAAGAACGAAAGUUAGGGGAUCGAAGACGAUCAGAUACCGUCGU
rnacentral:rRNA from 1 species